AGAUCACGAAAGGUGUUGUGAACAUUGUCAAAGGAAAGUGUGAAUUUGUUCAUGUGCACAUCUGUGCAUAUAAUAUCAGUCCUGCAAGAAAAUGAUUAUAUAACAAAUCAUCAGCUGAUGAAGCCAAAUUUGCAGAUUCAAUUCAUAUCAUCAAAAUGAACAACUGUCAUAAAAACAUCACUCCAUACAUAUUUUAUGAAGGUUAUUCUCAAAUCAGUAUUCAUGUAACAGCAUAACUAUCAAAGUCAGUUCAUCAUCCACAAAUAUUCUAUCCAAUUCUAAAGGGUAACAAGAUGGUCUGACAAUAAACUAUAUGUAUGACUCCGAGAAAUGCA
rnacentral:misc_RNA from 1 species